AUGCUCUCAGUUACCUUGCUUGCCAUGCCCUUGGAAGUGAAGCUGCAACUCCAUUGUUGCACUUUUCUUUGCUUGUCACUGCCAUUGUUUGCUUUCUCCUUAAAGUAUCAGCUUGAUAAUGUUCCCUUGUUCUUUUUCAUAGUGUCUGAGCAGAAGGGUAGCCCAAAGAUCUUAUAUUUUUUAAAGAAAUUUCAGAAGAAAUUCUGUUUCCUGGCAACCUCUACACAUGAGGAUAGACAGAGUUCUGCUUCUCCCCUAACCAGCACUGCUCCUCCUGGAACAGCUGAUAAUUGCAGCACAUCUGGGGCAGGACAGGAACUUGAGCAGAGUUCUGCUCUGGAUUUCCAACCCCCAGCAUAGAAUAGGGCGAGCUUCUCCAGCCCUGAGGUAGCCUCUGCAUGGAUGGCUAGCAGGGCAAAUCAUGGCUCAGCCAUAUGGUGGGGCCUGAUGGCCACAUGUUCUACCACAUGCUUUAAUACUGCUCAUAAAUUUCCUUAGGAAAUUCAUGAAAAAUAAAGGGAUACUUUGCUAUAUCUACA
rnacentral:lncRNA from 1 species